CAAUUUAAAGCUUAAUAGGGAAGCAUCUCAUUUACACUGAGUAGAUUACUGUGCGAGUCAGUAUAAAUUGA
rnacentral:tRNA from 1 species